rnacentral:lncRNA from 1 species
UUAGUAUUACUAAUUACGCUAAAUAUAUACAAAAUAUAAAUUUAGAACGGAGUGAAUGAUUUAUUUUUGCUUGUUAUAAUAGUGUUACAAGUAAAGAAAGAGCGCGGUAUAUUCUCAUAUUAAUCGAUGAAUUGAAAAUUAAUUAUGCUGUUAUCUCCUCGGCACCAUUGCAAAGUUUUUGUCCAUCUAUUUGUAAACCAAUCUAUACGUCGCACUAUCUAACUAUGCAUGUCAAAAUAAU